GAUCAUGGCUCAGGAUGAACGCUAGCGACAGGCUUAACACAUGCAAGUCGAGGGGCAGCGAGGAAGUGGCAACACUUCUGUCGGCGACCGGCGCACGGGUGAGUAACGCGUAUGCAACCUGCCCUUCACAGGGGGAUAACCGGGAGAAAUUCCGACUAAUACCGCAUACGUCCUCCGGGGGCGACCCCACGGGGAGUGAAAGAAUUAUCGGUGAAGGAUGGGCAUGCGUGAUAUUAGGUAGUUGGCGGGGCG
rnacentral:rRNA from 1 species